CUAGGACCCGGUGCAAACCCGGGUGGCUCUUCUGGCCGCCGAUCCGCCAGACAAUC
rfam:Pelagibacterium sp. SCN 63-23 ABS75_C0007, whole genome shotgun sequence.